rnacentral:rRNA from 1 species
UACGAAGGUGGCAAGCGUUGUUCGGAUUUACUGGGCGUACAGGGAGCGUAGGCGGUUGGGUAAGCCCUCCGUGAAAUCUCCAGGCUUAACCUGGAAAGUGCAGAGGGGACUGCUCAGCUAGAGGAUGGGAGAGGAGCGCGGAAUUCCCGGUGUAGCGGUGAAAUGCGUAGAGAUCGGGAGGAAGGCCGGUGGCGAAGGCGGCGCUCUGGAACAUUUCUGACGCUGAGGCUCGAAAGCGUGGGGAGCAAACAGGAUUAGAUACCCUGGUAGUCCACGCCUUAAACGAUGGAUACUAAGUGUCGGCGGGUUACCGCCGGUGCCGCAGCUAACGCAGUAAGUAUCCCGCCUGGGAAGUACGGCCGCAAGGUUGAA